CUCGUAGUUGGAUUUCUGGCAGGAGUGACUGACCACAAACUCUGUUUGUGAGUUGUGUCAUUCUGGCCAUCCUUGGUAAGAUCCUUUUUGGCAUUAAGUUGUCGGGAAGGGGAUGACCAUCGUUUACUGUGAAAAAAUUAGAGUGUUUAAAGCAGGCUUAUGCCGUUGAAUAUAUUAGCAUGGAAUAAUAAGAUAGGACUUUGAGUCUAUUUUGUUGGUUUGCGAGUCAAAGUAAUGAUUAAUAGGGACAGUUGGGGGUAUUCGUAUUUCAUUGUCAGAGGUGAAAUUCUUGGAUUUCUGAAAGACGAACUACUGCGAAAGCAUUUACCAAGGAUGUUUUCAUUAAUCAAGAACGAAAGUA
rnacentral:rRNA from 1 species